AUGAAACAGCCUUUACAGAACUACAAAAAGAUGACUGACAUAAAGGUCUUGGUUCUACCAGAUUUUAGAAAGAUUUUAACAAUUGAGACAAACGAUUCCAGUGUGGCCAUUGGUGUCGUGUUAUCUCAUAAUGGUCAUCUGAUAGCUUCAGCAAAAAGAUGUGCCCUUGUCCUCUUCAUUGUAUGUUCGCGAGAUGUUUGCUAUCACUGA